rnacentral:rRNA from 1 species
UGCAGUCGACGAAAAGCAAUCUUCGGAUUUGUGGAAAGUGGCGAACGGGUGCGUAACACGUGAGCAACCUGCCCUAAAGUGCGGAACAGCCUGUCGAAAGAUGGAUUAAUGCCGCAUGUGGCUCUUCUUCGCAUGAAGAAGUAGCUAAAGCUUGUAAUGGCGCUUUAGGAUGGGCUCGCGGCCUAUCAGCUUGUUGGUAAGGUAACGGCUUACCAAGGCUAAGACGGGUAGCUGGUCUGAGAGGAUGAUCAGCCACACCGGGACUGAGACACGGCCCGGACACCUACGGGUGGCAGCAGUUUCGAAUCAUUCACAAUGGGCGAAAGCCUGAUGAUGCAAUGCCGCGUGGAGGAUGAAGGCCUUAGGGUCGUAAACUCCUGUCAUUGGGGAACAACAAGUAGGUUCAUAGCCUAUCAUGAGUUAACCCAAAGAGGAAGAGGUGGCUAACUCCGUGCCAGCAGCCGCGGUGAUACGGAGACCUCGAGCGUUACUCGGAUUCACUGGGCGUAAAGGGUGAGUAGGUGGCCAAGUAUGUCAGGUGUGAAAUCCCGGGGCUUAACCCCGGAACUGCGCCUGAAACUACUUGGCUAGAGUCUCGGAGAGGAUAGUGGAAUUCCAAGUGUAGCGGUGAAAUGCGUAGAUAUUUGGAGGAACACCAGUGGCGAAGGCGACUAUCUGGACGAGUACUGACGCUCAAUCACGAAAGCAUGGGUAGCGAAAGGGAUUAGAUACCCCUGUAGUCCAUGCCGUANACGUUGCACACUAAGUUUCGGAGGAUUCGACCCCUUCGGAGCUCAAGCUAACGCGUUAAGUGUGCCGCCUGAGGACUACGGC